ensembl:lncRNA
GGAAGUUCUCGUUUCAUAUACUGUUGAAGCCUGGCUUGGAAAAGUUUGAGCAUUACUUUGAUAGCAUGUGAAAUGAGUGCAGUUGUGCAAUGCCAAAGAAUGCUCAAACUACCGCACAAUUGCACUCAUCUCACAUGCUAGUGAAGUAGUGCUCAAAAUUCUCCAAGCCAGGCUUCAGCAAUACAUGAACUGUACACUUCCAGAUGUUCAAUCUGGUUUUAGAAAAGGCAAAGGAUCCAGAGAUCAAAUUGCCAACAUCUGCUGGAUCAUCGAAAAAGCAAGAGAGUUCCAGAAAAACAUCUAUUUCUGCUUUCUUGACUAUGCCAAAGCCUUUGACUGUGUGGAUCACAAUAAACUGUAGAAAAUUCUUCAAGAGAUGGGAAUACCAGACCACCUGACCUGCCUCUUGAGAAACCUAUAUGCAGGUCAGGAAGCAACAGUUAGAACUGGACAUGGAACAACAGACUGGUUCCAAAUAGGAAAAGGAGUACGUCAAGGCUGUAUAUUGUCACCCUG